rnacentral:rRNA from 5 species
AAAUUGAAGAGUUUGAUCAUGGCUCAGAUUGAACGCUGGCGGCAGGCCUAACACAUGCAAGUCGAACGGUAACAGGAAGCAGCUUGCUGCUUCGCUGACGAGUGGCGGACGGGUGAGUAAUGUCUGGGAAACUGCCUGAUGGAGGGGGAUAACUACUGGAAACGGUGGCUAAUAC